AUAACCUCCAAAUAAAUAAUUCAUUUUAUUUUUGGACUUGGAAUGGAAAACAUAGGAUUUUGAAAAUAUUAAGGCAAUUUACUAGGAGUGGACUUGAUUUCAAGGUUUAAUUUUGAUUACGAAGAUACUUGGUAACUAGUUAAUGAAUAGAAAUUUAUCUGACUGCAGCCUGUAUAGCUUCUCGAUGACAUGAGUGAGGUGUGAGGAUUUUUUUCUUGGACUUAAUCGUGGGAUCUGGCAAAAAUGGGGCCAUUUGCUAGAAGAACAACUUAUCAUUCCAGGACUUGAUACAAUAGAUUGAUCCAAUUCAUAAGCAGAUCGGCC